GGGCCCUGACAGGAUCUGUGUUCCCAGGGAUCGCCGGGGGGUACCUGAGGGGACAGCCCGAAGAGCUGCAAAUCAUCUGCGAGGCCCUUCAAGCCAUGAGAAAAGACAACUGCCCCUCCUACACAAGCGUGAUGGUUCAAGCCCUCUUUGACCAAAGAGCUGCAGUAUUAAAUUCAUCUUCUGCAUCGAGACAAGCGGCGUCCCUAGAAAAGCACCAGAUACCACUCAACAGGAGACCACCUGGAGACCAGAGGAAACCAUCUGGAGCUCCAGGCACUGAUGCCGAGCCCAACUGAGCCUGCCAGGAAGACCUUGUGGCUCCUGGCCUGUCCUUCCCUCUUGACCCGUCCCUGCCUCCAUACUGCUCCAUCCCUUUAGCCUUCAGACCCAGCCUGUUCCCUUCUGCUCCCAGCUCAUCCCUCCACUUCCCCUUCCCUUAAUAAACAGUUGGGUUUCUCCCCCCUA